CUAGUUAGUGAGACCAAGGCAAAUGUGACUCUGCCUGCUGACCCUUAGCUUCUGGGGGUGGGGGGUGUGAUGAGAUCUGAAAUCUUGGUGGGGGGUACCUGAGACCUGACUCCCCACUGUAAGGCCAGAUCACUAGCAUUGCUGGCCUUGCCUUCAUGUCUGCUGCCACCACAGUUCUUGGCAGCAUCCUGAAGGGAAGCCCACAGGGGGGGGGGGGGUAAAGAAAAAAAGAGCUAGUUAGUAAUAAGCCUCAGCUAUUGCC